rnacentral:rRNA from 1 species
AGGAAACUCUGAUGCAGCGAUGCCGCGUGAGUGAAGAAGGCCUUUGGGUUGUAAAGCUCUUUUGUAGGGGAAGAUAAUGACUGUACCCUAAGAAUAAGGUCCGGCUAACUUCGUGCCAGCAGCCGCGGUAAUACGAAGGGACCUAGCGUGGUUCGGAAUUACUGGGCGUAAAGCGCGCGUAGGCCGUUGAGUUAGUUAAUUGUGAAAUCCCAAAGCUUAACUUUGGAACUGCAAUUAAAACUGCUCGACUAGAGUUUGAUAGAGGAAAGCGGAAUACAUAGUGUAGAGGUGAAAUUCGUAGAUAUUAUGUAGAACACCAGUUGCGAAGGCGGCUUUCUGGAUCAACACUGACGCUGAGGCGCGAAAGUAUGGGUAGCAAAGAGGAUUAGAUACCCUCGUAGUCCAUACCAUAAACGAUGAUUGCUAGAUGUUGGAAAUUUAUUUUCAGUAUCGCAGCUAACGCAUUAAGCAAUCCGCCUGGGGAGUACGACCGCAAGGUUAAAACUCAAAUGAAUUGACGG